GCUGAAAUACUUUCCUAUCACUCUUGAAUCUAAUAUCUUCAAGGCUUCCUCAGAUUUAAUGCAACUAGGUUUUUUGUAUUGGCUCAAUGAAGUUCCCUUGGACACAUAGUAAUCCAUUAGUGCCUCAAAACAUCCUUGCUUUACCACCCUAAUCUCCAAAGCUGCAAUUAUGUUCCUUUUCCUAUAGAUUUUAUAUGUAUAAUGCAAUGACUCUUCCAUUGAUACGAGCCAAGGAGGUGACACUCAAGGGGUUGUUUUUCCUAGUGGUCCAAUUACUCGAAGCAAGGCACGACAAUUAAAAUUAAAGAUGAAUGCUUUUGUCCAAGACUUUGUUGCUACAAAUUUAAUUCAUCAUGUUCGUGACAUUGACAAAUACGAGAAUGCAAUUCACUGGACCAAUCUUGGAAUAGUGAAAGCCCAUAAAUUGGUGGAUUAAUCUUUUAUGUAUAUUAUUAUUAUUAUUAUUAUUAUUUACUUAAUUCUCAUUGGUUGGGACACAUCAUUUAUGAGUUAAGUAAUUUUAUUGGUUAAGUUAUUAUUUAUUUAUUUUCUUAGAUAAUUUUAAAGAGUUUUAUUAGGAUUCAAUUACUCUUUAAAGAGUUUUUAUUAUGAUUCAAUUACUCUUGUAAUUUGCCUAUAAAUAGGCUUGUUUUCUACACAUUGAAAGAAGAAUAAAAAGAAGAGUAUUUGUUUUCUUACAAAUUUGUGUGAGGCAAAUUUUUUUAGAGUAGAGUGAUUCUUCUCUUGCUAUUUAGUUUGGAGUUUGUUACUUUCAAGGGUAUUUCGGAGUUGCAAAUAUUCAAAUUUCUUUCCCGUUCAUCGGUGUUUCUAGAGGUUCUUUUUCUAGGGGUUUCGUAGGGAGCCGCUCAAUCAUUGGCGUUUUUGGUUACAAGUUAACCAAGGGUUCCAUAGUGCAAAUCUAUCCUUUUUUAUUUAUUUAUUUAUUUAUUAUUUAACUAAUUUUAUUCUCGUUUUAUUUCUAAUUUGUGUUUCUCUUGUGUCUAGAUCCGGGAUUCCGCAUCAAUUGAUAUCAAUUUCAGGCCAUUCGGUGUUAUUUUCGAAGCUAAAAUCAAAUCCGAAACGAGUCAAAAUACCAAAAACACUUUUCAUCGGUUUCGUCGAUUUUUUUUAAAAAAAGUUUGUGUUUAUUCUCCUCUUAUUCUUUAAAUAAAAGCAAAAAAACAGCAAAAAUAGCAAAAAAAACAAAAAAAGCAAAAAAGCGCAAAAAAAGAGUAAAAAGCACAAAAAAAAAACCAAAAAAAAAAAGCAAAAAAAAGCGCAAAAAAAGAAAGAGUAAAAAGCGCAAAAAAAAAGCACAAAAAAAAAGUUGCCUACCUUUCAUACGUAGGUUUCUUCUUUUCCUAUUAUUGUUAUUAUUUUUAUUUUAUUUUUUCCCAAAAUUGAAUUUUUUUCCCUUUCUUUCUUGACUCAAAUAUAAUUAAAGCUUCAAUUUUUGAAAAUCUUAACACACCAAACGUUUCCGAUUUUUUUGUUUUCCUUUAAAUUGGGUAGAGUUUUCUUAAGUUUUCUUCUUAUUAAAGGUUUUCUUUGACUCUAGAGUUAGGGAUCGUUGCAGGUCUACGUUUUUUUGUUUCUCUUACGUUUUCUAACACUUUGUUUCUUCUUGUGUUAGCAGAUAUUAAAGGCACGCACAAUUCCUUCAUCCGUGUAGCCUCCAUUACAAAUUGCUUCGUCAAGUUUAUUGGCCUCUUAAAGCAAUUAGGAUCUUCAUUGUUUCUUUGAAGUUUGCACCUCCAUUAUUUGAUCUUGAUUAGUAACCCUCUCCAAACAUAUUUACAAGUUUUGAAUCAUUCAGAGAGUUAUUCUUUUAAGAGCUAACGAGUGAGGUUAUUAUUAUUAUUUUCUUGUUCCUGUUUGUGUGAUUUUUUCACAGAUACCAUGCCGAUCACUAGAUCCCAAACUAGUAAAAAUGAAAAGGAUGAGCAAAAAAGAGAGAACGAUCCUUUGGUUGAGUUAUUACAAAAAGAGAUGAAAAAGUUGCAAACUCAACUCGAGCAUCGCAUGACCCAAAUGUUACAAGAGCAAAGGGAGUAUCUUGAUAUAAAACUUACAACUCAAAAUGAGAUGUCUCCUUUGGAAGAUGCUGAUGAUGUGCAUGAUCAUGAUGAGUAUGAAGAGUACAUGAAGUAUGGUGAGAAAGCACUUGUUGCUCGAAGGGCUUUAAAUGUCCAGUUUAAAGAGGAAGGGCGCGAACAAAGAGAUAACAUUUUCCACACGAGAUGUUUGAUUGGUGGACAACCUAGUUCAUUGAUCAUCGAUAGUGGAAGUUGCACCAAUGUAGUGAGUUCUUCCCUUGUUGAGAAACUUGGCCUACCUUGUGUGAAGCAUCCAAUGCCAUACUGCUUACAAUGGCUGAAUGAUAGUGGGGAGGUAAAAGUAUCUAAACAAUGCUUAGUUUCAUUUUCUAUUGGUAGAUACUCUGAUAAAGUUUUGUGUGAUGUUGUUCCAAUGCAAGCUGGGCACAUAUUACUUAGACGGCCAUGGCAGUUUGAUCGACGAGUAAAUCAUGAUGGUUUCCUUAACCAAUAUACUUUUGUGUUCCUUGGAAAGAAGUUUACUUUGGCUCCACUUCCUCCUCAAGAAGUCUACAAUGAUCAACUCAAACUUGCUAGUGAGAUGGGUAAGGGAAGUGAGGUAAAAUCAUUGAAAAAGGCUGAGAGUAAAGAGGCUCUUAGUGUUAAAAUCCAACUUAAAGGCCCAACAUUGGUGAGUGAUUGCACACACAAGUCACGAGAUGAGAAAGUGAGUUUAUUCGCUAGGUUUCGAGAUAUCAAAUUUACUCUUUGUACAAAACAAACAUUUGUAAUUAUUAGGUUUAGGGAAAACUUUAUUUUGACUAACCCUAAUACACAUUUGCCUAGUUGUUUUGUUAAUCUUUUGCAGGAUUUUGAGGAUGUAUUUCCUUCUGAAAUGCCUAAGGGAUUACCUCCUUUACGAGGGAUUGAACAUCAAAUUGACUUUGUGCCUGGUUCGAGUAUUCCGAAUAGACCAGUCUAUCGAAGCAAUCCUGAAAAAACUAAGGAGUUGCAAAGGCAAGUUGAAGAUCUCUUAGAGAAAGGGUUAAUUCGUGAGAGUCUAAGCCCUUGUGCGGUCCCUGUACUUCUCGUCCCAAAAAAAGAUGGUUCUUGGAGAAUGUGUGUUGAUUGUCGUGCUGUCAACAAGAUUACGGUAAAGUAUCGAUAUCCAAUUCCUCGAUUAGAUGAUAUGUUGGAUGAGCUUAAUGGUGCAUGCAUUUUCUCUAAAAUUGACUUAAAAAGUGGUUACCAUCAAAUAAUAAUGAAACAAUGUGAUGAAUGGAAAACUGCUUUUAAGACUAAGUAUGGCCUAUAUGAGUGGUUAGUUAUGCCAUUUGGCUUAACUAAUGCUCCUAGCACAUUCAUGAGAUUAAUGAACCACAUACUUAGACCUUUUUUAGGAAAAUUUGUCGUUGUGUAUUUUGAUGACAUACUGAUUUAUAGCAAAACUUUGAAUGAUCAUGUUGGGCAUGUUAAAUUAGUAUUGGAUGUGUUAAGGCAUGAACGACUCUUUGCUAAUCUUGAAAAAUGCACCUUUUGUAUGGAUAAGCUUGUUUUUUUGGGUUUUGUGAUAAGUUCUACAGGAAUCCAUGUGGAUGAGGAGAAGGUAAAGGCAAUUCAAGAAUGGCCUAUCCCUAAAACUGUUUCUGAGGUAAGGUCUUUCCUUGGGUUAGCCGGUUUCUACCGCAGGUUUGUUCGUAACUUUUCCACAAUUGCUUCACCUUUGACUACACUUAUUAAAAAGGAUGUAUCUUUUCAUUGGACAGAUAAGCAAGAAUUAGCAUUUAAUGAACUUAAAGAUAAAUUCUGUAAUGCUCCUAUUCUUGUUUUACCUAAUUUUGAAAAGACCUUUGAGAUUGAAUGUGAUGCUUCUGGUGUAGGUAUAGGUGCCGUCCUCAUGCAAGAUAGUAAACCACUAGCCUACUUUAGUGAGAAACUCGGUGGAGCACAUUUGAACUAUUCGACCUAUGAUAAAGAGUUGUAUGCCCUGGUAAGGGCAUUAGAAGUUUGGCAACAUUACCUUUUACCAAAGGAGUUUGUGAUUCACACUGACCAUGAAUCACUUAAGCACUUAAAGGGACAAGGUAAGUUGAACAAGCGACAUGCGAGGUGGGUUGAAUUUAUUGAAUUUUUUCCUUAUGUUAUAAGGUAUAAGAAAGGUAAAGAUAAUAUUGUGGCUGAUGCUCUAUUAAGGAGGUACACUUUACUUAGUACUUUGCAUACUAAGUUAUUAGGUUUUGAGUAUCUUAAAGAUUUAUAUGCCACUGAUUCUGAUUUUGCAAGCAUUUAUGACGCAUGUGAACAUGGUGCAUUUCAUAAAUUUUAUAAGCAUGAUGGCCAUCUUUUUCGAAAUAAUAGACUAUGCUUACCAAAGUGUUCAAUGUGAGAAUUGUUGGUUCGAGAGGCUCAUAGUGGUGGUCUUAUGGGUCAUUUUGGAGUCACUAAGACUCAUGAUGUUUUAUAUGAGCAUUUUUAUUGGCCUAACAUGUGAAAACUUGUUGAGAAAAUUUGCUCUACUUGCAUUACUUGUAAACAAGCUAAAUCCACUGUGAUGCCUCAUGGUCUAUAUAUUCCUCUUCCUGUUCCUAGUUCACCUUGGACUGACAUUUCAAUGGAUUUUAUAAUAGGUUUACCAAGGACAAAGCGUGGACGAGAUAGCAUCUUUGUGGUUGUGGAUCGAUUUUCUAAAAUGGCUCAUUUCAUUCCAUGCCAUAAGACUGAUGAUGCAACCCAUGUUGCCGAUCUAUUUUUCCGUGAAGUUGAGAGAUUACAUGGAAUCCCAAGGACUAUCGUUUCCGAUAGAGAUGCAAAAUUUCUUAGUCACUUUUGGAAGGUGUUAUGGGGUAAAUUAGGUACUAAAUUACUUUACUCUACUACAUGCCACCCUCAAACUGAUGGUCAAACCGAGGUGGUAAAUCGAGUUUUGGGAUCUUUGCUUAGAGCCAUAAUAGGUAAGAAUGUUAAAUCUUGGGAAGAAUGGAUACCCUAUGUUGAGUUUGCUUAUAAUCGUUCUGUUCAUUCUUCCACAAGUUUUACUCCUUUUGAGAUUGUAUAUGGCUUUAAUCCACUUACUGUUUUAGAUUUGCUUCCUUUACCUUUGAAUGAGAUUGCUAAUUUAGAUGGUGAAAGGAAAGCUGAUUUAGUGAAAGAGAUCCAUGAGAAGGCUCGUAAAGCCAUUGAGAAAAAGAAUGAGUCCAAUGCACAUCGAGUUAAUAAAGGGCGAAAGCAAGUCUUGUUUGAACCUGGAGAUUGGGUAUGGGUGCAUAUGAGGAAGGAACGAUUUCCUUCUAAGAGAAAUAAUAAACUUGAAGCACGAGGAGAUGGACCAUUCCAAGUACUCGAGAAAAUAAAUGACAAUGCUUAUCGCAUUGAUCUUCCUGGUGAGUAUAGUGUUAGUGCUACUUUCAAUGUUUCUGAUCUUUCUCCUUUUGAAUUUGAUGUAGGUUCAGAUUCGAGGACAAAUCUUCUUGAAGAGGGGGAGAAUGAUACGAGCCAAGGAGGUGACACUCAAGGGGUUGUUUUUCCUAGUGGUCCAAUUACUCGAAGCAAGGCACGACAAUUAAAAUUAAAGAUGAAUGCUUUUGUCCAAGACUUUGUUGCUACAAAUUUAAUUCAUCAUGUUCGUGACAUUGACAAAUACGAGAAUGCAAUUCACUGGACCAAUCUUGGAAUAGUGAAAGCCCAUAAAUUGGUGGAUUGAUCUUUUAUGUAUAUUAUUAUUAUUUACUUAAUUCUCAUUGGUUGGAACACAUCAUUUAUGAGUUAAGUAAUUUUAUUGGUUAGGUUAUUAUUUAUUUAUUUUCUUAGAUAAUUUUAAAGAGUUUUAUUAGAAUUCAAUUACUCUUUAAAGAGUUUUUAUUAGGAUUCAAUUACUCUUGUAAUUUGCCUAUAAAUAGGCUUGUUUUCUACACAUUGAAAGAAGAAUAAAAAGAAGAGUAUUUGUUUUCUUUCAAAUUUGUGUGAGGCAAAUUUUUUUAGAGUAGAGUGAUUCUUCUCUUGCUAUUUAGUUUGGAGUUUGUUACUUUCGAGGGUAUUUUGGAGUUGCAAAUAUUCAAAUUUCUUUCCCGUUCAUCGGUGUUUCUAGAGGUUCUUUUUCUAAGGGUUUCGUAGGGAGCCGCUCAAUCAUUGGCGUUUUUGGUUACAAGUUAACCAAGGGUUCCAUAGGGCAAAUCUAUCCUUUUUAUUUAUUUAUUUAUUUAUUAUUUAACUAAUUUUAUUCUCGUUUUAUUUCUAAUUUGUGUUUCUCUUGUGUCUAGAUCCGGGAUUUCGCAUCAUCCAUUCUAGAGGAACACUCUACCAUUAUCUUUGGGUCAAGUUCUUUGCAAUGCUUGCCUUCUUUUCCCUUGAUCUCCCAAAAUAAGACAUAGUGACCUGGUGCUGAAGAAGUAUCAACGUAGCUAGUGUACUCUGUCAAGAUGAAUCCCAGUGGAUCGAGAAGAGCCUUUGCUUCUGUCACAGCCUUGAAAAGGUCUGUUUCGCUUGUUUUUUCCUGAUCAACACUUAGAAUAACAUUUUUCCUCUCCACAAAUUGGAAUUGAGGUGCAUUAUUGUAGAAACCACUCACCAUAAGAACAUCUCCAACUUUAUAUCGAUAUAAUCCUGAAAGAAACAAAGAAAGGAAUAUCAUCAAACUAGAUUAGAUCAUUAUCUAACAGGUUAAUGUAGGAACUAGGAAGCAUAAUGCAGAUUAGAACAUGGCAUUUGAUUAAUUGAUUAUAUUCAAAAUAGGAACUUUUACCUGCACAAGUUGUGACAACUAGUUCAUAACACUGACCAGCCUUCACAUUUACAAGAUCAACAAGUUCAGUAUCUUCAUUGUUGCUCUUCAUUUCAAUAGAUCCAUCACCUUCAUUCUUUACUGGAAGGAAUUCGAAGUAAGCCAUGUUAGGGAGAAAUGUGUAGGAGACAUCACAAGGUUUGUGUAGAGGUUCUAAGUUAAUCCCACAAAUAGCUUCCGAGCAAGCAUAUAAAUCUGAAACUAAAGGGAGCCCUCUGGAAUAGAACUCGAGUUCUGUAGUAUACUGUCUCAUAAUGCCAGUACAAAUACAACCAAUAUACCUUGCUUUAGGCCAUAACUUUCUGAUUAUUCCUUCCCAUGAUUUACAAUUACAUAUAGUUUCUAUCAAGUCAGCCUGUUCUGGAUUAGGCUUCAUGACCAAUGAUGCUGCAUUUCUGCAUCCUGAGUCGGUGAUCCAAUCGGUUAAUUGACCUGUUUUUAUGUCAUAGCAUAGCUCUUGCCAGUGAUUUUCUACAAACUUGAUACCUCUUAACACUGUAGAUGCAAAGACUGAACCAACCUUGACAACCUCGUCUCGUUGGAUUAAACCAAAAAGUAAUUGACAGUAUAAGCCCUGGUUGGGGUCUGGGCAAAAGAUGGUCUCAAUGGGGCUUGUGUAAAGCUUAGACAAAAUGGUUCUAAAAUUACACUCGUUGUAUAUGCUCGUUGAAACAGAUGCUGCCUUGAGGCCACUAGGAGUUUCAAUCUCUGGUCUGCCAAACAUAAGCUCCAGUCUUUUACCGGCUUGGUUGAUGUCACCAAAGUGCCUUUAAAAUUUGACGGAUAAAGGCAAAUAGUUAGUUUUAGGACUAAGUUGCCGUUGUAAAUGCAAAAAGCAAGAAAAGCAACUAUGUAUAUUAUAUCUAUAUAUGUACAAGUAGUAUUUACUAAAUACGGGUGUUACAAUCUGCAUGGUAUAUUAUACAUAUGUAUUUGCUUAAUAUGGUAACUUAUAUACAUGUAUUCACAAGCAGCUGAAAGAAAAACUAGAAGAAAAUAGGGAUGGGUUCCUUACUUUAUCGCAGGAGACUCGUACAAGCCACGAAAUAAUUCCCACUUAUUAGCAACUUCAGCAGUGACAGGCAUCAGCUUUGGCUGCCCGCCUGAAGUCCUAGAGCUGCAUUUGAUCAAACAGAUGAUAGAACUAUUAGAAGGAAUCAAACAGUACCCCAAAACACACAGAAGCAAAGCAACAAAUUCAUGCAUGCCUUAGAAAGAACCCUGUAAUGGGUUCAGCUAAAAGGAUAUCUGAUGUCUCCCCAUUAGCAAUCCUAUCUAUGUAAGGCUUGAGAUCUUCAUAAGUAACUAUGGGAACAUUUUUCUUAAAGAGCUGCUUCUCGGUUUGACCAUGGAGGUAUCCCCUUAAAUACUCUGUUCCUGCAUUUCGACUUAGUAUUUCCCCCAAUACCUCGUCUUGAAUUUGCUCAGCAUUUGUGGUCAGUUCCUCAAUCAUCUUCAACCUACCUUCACACCCAUUCGUUGCCAUCAGCCCUAUUACUGAGAUCCAGACAGCUUUUUCUGUUUUCAUUUUUCUUUUUUGGGGAUGUUCUAGCUAUAGGCAAUGGAAACUCUACCUACGCUAAAUAUAAUAAGAUUCAUGGGACUUGACCCACACAUGUCGGCACGCAUUAUAAACAAUGUGGCAUCAAUGAAAUGAUUAAAACGUGAAUUAGUAAUAUAUUAAAACUAAGCAUGGAUAUAAAAUAAUUAUAAGAAAGUUGUAUUUAAUGGAGUUGAGUACCGAUUUAUGCCUCUUCCAAUCUUCAAAAGCCAAUGUAAAAACUAAUUUUACGCCGAAAAUGGUUUAGUUGAUAUGAUUUAUAUAAUUUUUUGUCAUCUAUUAUAUCUUACUUUGUUUAAGGCUUUGUUUGUAUACCUGUAAAAUAAGUUAAGGAAAAUAUUUUCAUCUUUUUUCACUGUUUGUUUGAUAGAAAAUGAAUUCUCACCGUAAAACCUUCUCAAAAACAUGAGAAAAGAAGGCUUUAUUUUAGGAAAAUAUCUUUAACAUUUUCCAAAGUUUUUUUCUGAAGCAGUAAACUAAUCCAAAGCCUCUUUCCAUUUCCCCAUUCCUUCCCACUCUGGUCUAGAGCUUACAGUCAGCCAGCAACGGUUCCCAACACCAGUCGCCGGCAUUCACCUUUGAUUUCCUUCUUUUCGCCUUUCGUUGUCGAAAUUUGCACUGCACUAAUCAACGAUGGUGUUCAUCUUCCUCUCUCGAAGGUAAGAAUGAAAAAAAGGAAGAAAUAUGUGGUUGUUUUUUAGUAGCAACAUGUUGUUUUGGCCCAAUUUGAUUGCUGGUUAAUCCCUCUUUUUUAUUUUUUUUAUGGUUUUUGUUAUUUUUACGUUUCAUCUUCCUUGAACGGUGCAAGCUGGAUUCUUGUUGGUGGUAAUGGAAUAAUUAAGAUAUGGUAAUGAUGGUGGUGGCUGAGGCACAACUAAUGAGCAAAAACUCAAAGUCUUUAAGUUCACACAUUAUUUGUUCAAAUGGGAUUAGUGGGCAUUGUUGUUCCAAUAGGGUCGGAAGCGUGUAAAUUAUUGUACUAAAAAAUCACACAAAGUUCAAUUCCCAGGGAAGAGAGGUGGAUCACAUAGAUCUCUUAAAUACCAAGUCUUUCCUUAGACAGAAUAUCCCUUCUAUAGUAAUUUAAUAGCACAAUUAAAUACUACUAUUAUACCCUCAAAUAUUGAAAGAAAAAUAGGACAAGAAAGAACACAAGAGAUUUAACGAGGUUCGGUAAAUUAUACCUACGUCCUCGGGCACUAACACCAGAUGAUAACUUUACUAUCUCCAAAGUAUUACAAACAAAUAGAAUUCCUUAAGAAUUCUCAAAUGGGAGAAGAGAGAAAACUAAGAGAGAAAGAUUGGUUGGGAUGAAUUGAAAUGAGAAAUGAGAAGGCCUAUUUAUAGUUGAGGUUUAAGGACCAAACAAUAAAUAGCCCAUUAUCUCAAGGACCAAAAAAAAAUUAUCCCAUGCCACUUUUUCAAAGUCAACUUUAGGGUGCUAAACUUGCACCACUUUGUAUUGUUUGCCAUUAAUGUUGUCUCCCAUUAAUGUUAACAAUCUCCACCUUGAAGAUUUGAUUAGGAUAAUCACAUCUUCACACACUUCCUUCAACUCCCCAAAUUCGAUAAAGCUAUCUUUUGUAGUGCCUACAAAUGCACUCUCGAGCGCCAUACACCUGAAGGUGCUCAAAUUCUCAGGAUGUUAAUCAAGUUCAAACAAUGAUUAAACUUGAUUGUUGUUACCACCUUGGUCAUCAUAUCUGCUGUCGGAAUCUUCUGAAGUAGAAUUUUUCCUUUUUCAAAGACUUCCCGCACAAAGUGAUAUCUUACGUCGAUAUGCUUGGUUCUUGAAUGAUAGACUUGAUUUUUCGCUAAAUGAAUAGCGCUCUGACUGUCACAAUAUAAACUUAUGUGACUUUGAACAACUCCUAAGUCUUUCAACAAUCCAUUAAGCCAAAUAGCCUCCUUAACAGCUUCUGUAACUGCCAUAUAUUCUGCCUCUGUAGUAGACACAGCUACUAUAGACUGUAAGGUAGACUUCAAACUCACUGGGGCUUUCGCAAGAGUAAACAGAUACCCCGUAGUUGAACGACGUUUAUCUAAAUCACCAUCAAAGUUGGAAUCAACAUAUCCAACUACAAACUGACCAAGUGCUUCAUCCUGUUCAAAAAUUAAACCAACAUCUACGGUUUUUCGAAGAUACCGUAGAAUCCAUUUCACAGCUUGCCAAUGUCCUUUUCCAAGAUCAUGCAUAUACCUGCUCACAACUCCAACAGCUUGUGAAAUGUCAGGCCUCGUACACACUAUCGCAUACAUCAAACUCCCAACUGCAUUAGCAUAUGGGACUUUCGCCAUAUAUUCUCUUUCAUCUUCAGUCUUCGGAGAUAAUUGAGCACUAAGUUUCAAAUGAGAAGCAAGUGGGGUACUUACAUGUUUUGUGUUUUCAUUUACACCAAAACAUUGUAAUACCUUUUUCAGAUAUUGUUUCUGAUUUAAACAGAGCUUGCCUCUCGGUCUAUCUCUACUUAUCUCCAUGCCGAGAAUCUUCUUGGCCUCACCUAGAUCUUUCAUCUCGAACUCUUGAUUCAACUGAGCCUUCAGCUUAUCUAUCUCAUUUUGGCUCUUCGAAGCGAUUAACAUAUCAUCAACAUACAAGAGUAGAUAAAUGAAAGAUCCGUCAUGCAGCUUCUGCAAAUAUACACAAUUGUCAUAUUUGCUUCUUGUGUACUUCUGCCUUCUUAUAAAGCUAUCAAAUCGCUUGUACCACUGCCUCGGGGAUUGCUUCAAUCCAUAUAGCGAUUUGUUCAACUUACAAACCCAAUUUCUACCACCAGCAUCUGUGUAUCCUUCGGGCUGAGUCAUAGAGAUCUCCUCUUCUAACUCACCAUGCAAGAAAGCUGUCUUAACAUCAAGUUGAGCUAGCUCCAAAUUCAACUGUGCUACCAAGGCUAACAAAAUUCUAAUGGAGGAAUGCUUCACAACAGGGGAAAAUACAUCAUUGUAGUCAAUUCCCUCCUUCUGAGCGUAGCCUUUAGCUACCAAUCUUGCCUUGUAGCGAAUAUCCUUCUUGCUAGGAGAUCCAUCUUUCUUUGCGAAUACCCACUUGCAUCCGAUUGCCCUUUUACCUUUCGGUAAUUGCGCCAACUCCCAAGUAUUGUUCUUCCGGAGAGACUGCAUUUCUUCAUCCAUGGCGCUUUUCCAUUUAUCACUUUCUAAGCUUUGCAUUGCUUCUUGAUAAGUGAUAGGAAUAUCAUCAACAACGGGAAGGGCGUAGGCCACCAUAUCAGUAAAUCGAGCAGGUUUACGAAUUUCUCUCUGUGGCCUUGCAACUGCAACUGGUUCUGGUGUACUUAGUGGUUCUUGGGUCAGAACCUUUUCAACCUCUAAUUCCUCCAUAGUGGCUGGAGAAUUAGACUUAUUAACUGGGCAAAUCCCCAUCUGCUCAAACUCCACCUGUUUUGGAGUACACUCCACCUGCUGUGGAGUAUUGCUCAUCUGAAUAUCUUUAUCUGCUACCUUUUUCAAUGUGGCAGAUUCAUCAAAGGUAACAUCUCUGCUACAGAUCAUUUUCUUUGUGCUUAAGCACCAAAGUCGAAAUCCCUUUACUCCAGAAGUGAUUCCCAUAAAGAGAGCUUUCUUUGCCCUUGGAUCUAACUUUGACUCAUUCACAUGGUAAUAUGCAGUGGUUCCAAACACAUGUAAGGAAUCAUAAUCUGUAGCCGGUUUUCCAAACCAUACCUCCAUAGGAGUUUUUCUUUCUAAUGCAGAUGAUGGCAAACGAUCAACAAGAUGGCCAGCGUAUGUCACAGCCUCAGCCCAAAAUUGCUUGCCCAACCCAGCAUUGGACAACAUACAUCGAACUUUCUCCAGCAAUGUUCGAUUCAUACGCUCUGCCAAUCCAUUCUGCUGUGGUGUAUCCCUAACUGUGAAGUGUCGAACAAUACCAUACUCUUGGCACACAUCGAAGAACGGAUCACUUUUAUAUUCCCCUCCAUUGUCCAACCUAAGCCGCUUGAUUUUCUUGCCAGUCUGGUUUUCGAUCAUAGUUUUCCAUUUAAGAAAAACUCUAAGCACUUCAUCCUUAGUUCUCAUGGUAUACACCCAAACUCUUCUGGAAAAGUCAUCAAUAAAAGUAACAAAGUAGUGUUUUUCUCCCAAUAAAGGUGUCUUGGAAGGCCCCUACACAUCUGAGUGAACAUAUUCCAAAAUACCUUUUGUAUUAUGGAUAGCAGUACCGAAUUUCACUCUCUUUUGCUUUCCCAGAACACAAUGCUUGCAAAAUUUUAAUUUGCAAGCCUUUGCACCUUUCAACAAUCCUUGCUUUGCCAGAAUUUGCAAGGAUUUUUCGCUGGCAUGUCCCAACUUCAUAUGCCACAACUGUAUUGAGUCCAAUUCUUUGUUGCCGGAAGCUGUAGCGACUGCUCCAAUAACUGUACUACCUUGGUAGUAAUACAAGUUAUUUUUCCUGUUGCCCUUCAAUAUCACAAGUGCGCCAGAUGUCACUUUCAAAAUCCCAUCUCUCAUAGUAACAACUGAACCAUUGGAUUCCAAGGCUCCCAAUGAGAUGAGAUUUUUCUUCAAACUGGGCACGUACCGAACAUCAGUCAGAACUCUGGUUGAUCCAUCUUGAUUCUUUAAUUGGAUUGAACCUAUCCCAACAGUUUUACAGGCAUUGUCAUUGCCCAUAUAAACAACUCCUCCAUUUAGUUCUACUAAAUCAGAGAACCACUCCCGGUUAGGGGACAUAUGAAAGGUACAACCCGAAUCCAAUAUCCACUCAUCUGAAUGGAACGACGAUAAUGAUGCAACCAGUGAUAGUUCAGAGUCACUAGUAUCAUGCUUUGCAACACAAGCAUCUACAGUAGCUUUUCCCUUAUUCUUCAGUUUUGGACAAUUUUUCUUCCAGUGGCCUUUCUCAUGACAAAAGGCACAUUCAUCUUUCCCGAGUCUAGACUUUGACUUUGAUCUCCCCUUUUGAGUUUUCUUCCGAGUGUAUGAACGACCUCGAACUACUAAAGCUUCUGUAUCUCUGAUUGAGUUUUUCUGUUUGUCAUUCUUUCUCUGUUCAUAACUGUAUAAGGCCGCACAGACUUCGCUCAGAGAUAUAUCACUCCUGCCAUGAAGUAGAGUAGUUUCUAGGAACUCAAACUCCACAUGAAGUGACCCCAACAGCAUCAAAGCCAAAUCUUCAUCUUUGAAUGUCUCAUCCAUAUUCAGCAAAUCAGUGACUAACUGAUUAAAUUUGGUGAUGUGAUCAUUCAUUGUGGUACUUGGGACGUAUGUAAAGCGAAACAGUCUUUUCUUCAAGUGGAGCUUAUUUUGACUGUUUUUCUUCAAAAAAUUUUCUUCAAGUGCCACCCACAACUUAUUUGCAGAAGUCUCAUUUGAAAAAGCAUACCUCUGCUCUCGAGAAAGGCAUGAUCGAAUUGUGCCACAUGCCAACCGAUUGAUCGCCUUCCAAUCUUUCUCCUGUACAUCAUCUGGUUUCUCUUCAUCAAUGGCAAUGUCUAGACCCUGCUGAAAAAGGGCAUCUAGAACCUCACUUUGCCACAUACCAAAAUGGCCCGUGCCAUCAAAGAUCUCCACGGCCAAUCUUGCAUUUGCAAUUGUCGGUCUUGUCCACAUGGACGAUGUUGAAGCUCCUACACCGACCGUUUUCUCCAUAAUCUUUCAAUAUACCUAAGGAAAUCUUUUCUGAUGUGGAAGAUCAGUUUAAACUGCAACCACAGAGCAUACUACGAUUAACCUUCGGCUCUUGAUACCACUUGUUGUUCCAAUAGGGUCGGAAGCGUGUAAAUUAUUGUACUAAAAAAUCACACAAAGUUCAAUUCCCAAGGAAGAGAGGUGGAUCACAUGGAUCUCUUAAAUACCAAGUCUUUCCUUAGACAGAAUAUCCCUUCUAUAGUAAUUUAAUAGCACAAUUAAAUACUACUAUUAUACCCUCAAAUAUUGAAAGAAAAAUAGGACAAGAAAGAACACAAGAGAUUUAACGAGGUUCGGUAAAUUAUACCUACGUCCUCGGGCACUAACACCAGAUGAUAACUUUACUAUCUCCAAAGUAUUACAAACAAAUAGAAUUCCUUAAGAAUUCUCAAAUGGGAGAAGAGAGAAAACUAAGAGAGAAAGAUUGGUUGGGAUGAAUUGAAAUGAGAAAUGAGAAGGCCUAUUUAUAGUUGAGGUUUAAGGACCAAACAAUAAAUAGCCCAUUAUCUCAAGGACCAAAAAAAAAUUAUCCCAUGCCACUUUUUCAAAGUCAACUUUAGGGUGCUAAACUUGCACCACUUUGUAUUGUUUGCCAUUAAUGUUGUCUCCCAUUAAUGUUAACAGGCAUGAUUUUGUUUUCUUCCCUUUCUUUUUUCUUCCAAUAGAAAUCAAUUUUGUUUUCCCCUCUUUCUUGGGGUAAAAAAGAACCUUUUUUUCUUAUAUAAAUAAUUGAUUAGCUCGAAUUUUGACCCAUUAUGGUGCAUCUUCUCUAUUUUCCCUUCUCUAAUAAUUGAUCUAAUGAAUCAAUUGCAUGUUUUUUCUUCUCUUUUUGUCUUUCAUUUCGUUGAAUUAUUGUUAAAUACAAACAAUUAUAAUGGAACAGAAUGUUAAAAAUGCUCUUUUUGAAUGUUUAUUUGGAUGCUUUUAGUUUGCUUGUAAACUUUAAGGUAAUUCAGAUUCGUAAUGCAACAAGAUUUUGGUUAGUAAUUUCCUGAUAAUCUGCUGCAGAAGUUAUGGGUGUUAUUGUUUUGGACAUAAUUUUGUUUUAAGUUAAAAUGAUCUGUGUUGACACCAUUUUUUUGACAAUACGAGAUCGACUUGGAUUUUGAAAAUGAAAAUGAAAAUGAGAGUCGCCACCAAUCCUUUUUGAUGAGGUGUAAUCGGAAGACCUCGAAAAGUGAUUGUUUUUAAUAAACGAUUUGAUUUUAUUAAAACAAUGAUUUUGGUCUACGAAAUUCAGAAAAAUAGGUUUGGGAGUCGGUUACGUACGAAAUUAGUGUCUUAAUGUCGAAGAUUGAAAAUUUUGAAAAGUUUUAAAAAUACAAUCCUUAAAAAAAACUCGAAUAACAUGGGUUAGAAUUUAGGAUUCUCUUGUUCUGAAAGAAUAUCACAUCCAGCACGUCAGGAUACGAUACUUUAAAUCCUCGAAACCAAGAUCACCUUAUGGUUUCCAAAACCAAUACUUUGAAAUUUUAAGAGGAUAUUUGGCUAUUUGGUCAAACGAGAAAUCGAAACUCAGCACGUUACGGCACGUUUUCUCAAAUUUUCAAACGCAAAAUAUUACAUUAUUUAGAAAAUUUUCCCUUUUUGAAUUUGGAUAAAAAUUAUGAAAUAUUUAAAAAUAAUAUAUAUACAAUUUGAAUAUAUUAUUUAAAAAAUUUACUUGAAAUGAAAAGGGGUCAUACAUAACUAAUAGUAAAUAACCAUAACAUGACAUGCAUAAUAGAAUAAUUAUAUAGCCUUGAUACUAACAAACCCUAAUGCAAACAUACAUGAAUAAAAGUAAUGAUACAAAUGGCAACAGCAAUAACAACGACAACCAUAAAAAUAACGAGCCCAAAGUUUGAAAGUAUAUAAAAAAUAGCAAAUAAAUAAAUAAAUAAUGGAAUAACAUGGCACUAAUGAUGGUAAAAAUAAUAUAAACAAGCCAAUCAGAUAAUAAUAAUAAUAAAAUAAAAAACUAAUAUAAGUUAGAUUAAAAGUUAAAGACAAGUAAAUAAAUAAAUAAAUAAAUAAAAUGUUAAAUGGAAUAUUUAAUAAAAUCUUUUUUAUUUAAAAAUAAUAAACAACAAUUGAAAUUAAAUAGGUUAAGGAUUAAACUGAAAUCUGAAUGAAAUUUCGAAGGUUUAAAUUGUAAACAAAUAGAAAAAGGGGUGGUUUGGGACUGAAAUGGGACACGCUCAAAGGAUGAGGGACCAACUAGGCAAUUUUCCAGCCUCGCUGUGCAGCGUUUCAACGCGGGCCAAAAUGAAACAAAUGUAUAAUUUAUGUGGCCAAAAUAAAAAUAAACAAUAGGGACCAGAUUGCACCACGGCGAGAAAGCGGAGGAAUCUAUUGCGCAAAUAUCCCCCUAAUUGAAAACAAGCGAAUCCUCUCUGGUGGGUCGGGUUGUGCGUGGGUCAGAGACCAAAACGACAUUGUUUUGGUCUCUGAACCCAAACUCCAAAACAGUGUCGUUUUCUAAUGCUAUAAAAUCCAAAAAAAAAAUUAAAUCCUUCAUUUUUUCUUUUCUUCUAAAAAAAACAAAACUUUCUCUCAACUCAAACCCUCCCUCAAAAUCCGACCUAGGUUUCCGGCCGUGGCCGCUGCCGUAGCGCCACGUGGCUGGUGGCUGGUGUUGCACAAAAAAAUGUUUCAGCCUCGUUUCACAGUGCACUCCUAGGCCCGGCCCUUUUCAACCCGAGAGGCCAAAAGAAAAAAAACUAUACCCCUUCUUUAAGCCCGAUUCAGACGACGGCGCAAGGAGUUCCGUCAAUGGAACCACUGGGCGAUUUAGGUACGUUCCUAUUUUCUUUUUAUUUUUGUAUAAAAUAUGUAAUGGCCCAAAUUCAAAAUUAUCGGAAUAGUGGUUUCGUAACCACAAAUCCGAUUUAAAGAGAAAUUUAUUUUAAUAUUUUUGCAUGAAUAUUGAUAUGAUAGGAAAAAUCGUAUGAAAAUAUCGAUAGAAAAAUUUUACUGAUUAAGUGGUUAGUUAGAAAAAGGAAUUAUUGAAGGAAUUAGGUAAAAAUAAGAUAUCGAGACUUCGAUCUCGUAAAACCGAGUCAAAAAUAUUUUUAUAAAUAUUUAUAAAGUGUUAGUAAUAUGGUAUUAAAAUUUCGUUAGAAAAUAUUAAUGUUUGGGUAGUCAAUUAAGUGAAAAGGACUAAAUUGAAAAAAAUGUAAAAGUUACUAGAGGGAUUAAAUAGCUCAAUUGUGAAAUGAGGAGGGACAUAAAUUGAAAAUAACCCCAAAAGGAGAUAUUUUGGGCGGCAUACGCUGAGAAAAAUCAGGAGAAUUGAAGAAAUAAGGGUAAAAUUGGAAUAUUACAAAAUUUGCUUUAAAAGUUAGGACUAAAGUGGAAUUAUCUAGAUUUCUCUUUAAUUUUCUGCACUCUCAUCAGCCAAAAACGUCCUAAGGGUUUCUUCAAGCUGGUUUUUCAUAAUUUUUGCACCAAGUGAGUUAAUUCUUUCCUUUUUCUCGUAAUUUUUGCGUUUCUAAGACUUUUACAACUAGGUCCUAUUACUUAAUUCAUUAGUUUUUGAUUUUAUGAAUGAUAUUGAAAGUUGAUAUGAAUAUGUGCUGGAAUUUUAUGAGGAAAUAGGAUGAAAUUGAUGCUUUAAUUUGUUUAUGAGAUGAUUUUAUUAGGUAAUUCCAAUAGAAAUUGAUUUGUAGGACCUAAUUGUGAAAAAGUUUGGAAUUAAAGUUUAGUGCUGAAAUUCUGAUUUCCAAAGGUUAUAAGGUAGUUUAAAGUGAUAUAAUAAAGUGUUGAUUUAGAAAAAUCAGCUCAAUUGAGAGGUUAAUUGAGCAGGGAUGAAAUUAUCAUUGUUGAAAGUUUAGGGGAAAAAUGGUAAUUAACACCAUGCACUAAAACAGUUUUAGACAGCAGCAGUAUUCUAACUUUGAAAAAUCACCAAAAAUUGUAGAGAUCGAAUUAGAGGAUGAAUAAAAUAUGAAAUUAAAGCUUAUUGAGUCUAGUUUCUUAUAAAAGAAAAGUUGUAAGCAAUGAAAUUGUAAAUCAUGAGAUAUAAUAGAUUUUGUGAGACAAGGUCAGAAUGAAUUCGGGUUCCCCUGUUCUGACUUUGGAAAAUCAUUAAAAAUUUUAAAAAAAUGAUUAUGAGUUAUAAUUUAUAUGCUUAGAAUCCUUAAUGAGUCUAUUUUCUGAGGAAAUAAAGGGAAACAUCAUCCUAAUUCUGUACAGUGAGAUAAUUAAUUUUUAGUGAAGAGGGGCAGAACUGUCAUACAGUGAAACAGGGGAAACUUUAAAGAAUAAACUGUACUUAUUGGCUAAACCAAAAAUUAUGAAAUUUUUAUGGUAAGAAUAUAUGUGAGUCUAGUUUCAGGAAAAAUUAACGGAUCUUAAUUUGGAGUUCUGUAGCUCAAGAUAUAAAUAAUUUAGUGACUGUGACUCAGUGAGGCAGCUUUGAAUGCACUAUAAAUAAUAAUGGAAUUGUAGAGAAAGUUACAUACGAACAUGAAAUGUAUUAGAUUAAUGAUUAAAUUUAUUUAUUUAAAUCCGGAAAAUUCAAAUACGAAGCAAGAUCGAGGAAAAGAAAAAGUUCGGGAUUAGUAGAUUUUUGUUUACGAACAAUUGUCGAGGUAAGUUCAUGUAACUUGAAUUAUAUUCAUAAAUGCUUGAAAUGUUUGUUAUUGAUGUGAAUAUGAUUUGGAUGUUUAAUGUAUGAUAAUUGAUGAAGUAUUGAUAUUAUUGAUGAAAAGAGGAAAUAAAUCUCGGUUGAAUGAAAGGAAAAAUUCGAUGGAUCUCUGAAAAAGGAAUUGACGGUAAAAAGGAUCUAGCCCGGACGGGUGAUCCUAUCCUGAUAUAGCCCUCCCGAAGAAUAUGUGGAAAAUGGAUUUAGCCCGGACGGGUAAUCCGAAUUAGGGUCUGAAUUUAGCCUGGACUGGUAAUUCAGAUCCAAGCUCAUUAGAGUAAUUGUCGUUGCAGGGGAUUUAGCCUGGACUGGUAAUCCCGACAAUACUCUAUGAGUUUAUAUUACAGGGGAUUUAGCCUGGACUGGUAAUCCCGCUGUAAGGAUGAGGUUCGCGGGAGUGUGCUCUCUGAAAUGGAAAUGUGCGCACAUGAAUAUGAAUUGACGGACCCAGAUUUGUACACUAAAGUGUACCUCUGAAAAUCCAUCGAAAUUUCAAGUAAUUCAAUGGGAUAAAUAUGGAAAAAUAACAAGAAAAUGGAAAUCAUGGAAUUGAUGAGCUCAUCAAUCAUUUAUCUUUGUAAUGAAUUUGCAUGAGGUUGAGUUUGUAUGUGAUAGGUAUAUGUUUAUGUGAAUUGGAUGUGUGCUUGUGUUAUUAAAUGAUGGAUGUAUAAGUAUGGUAAGUAUAAUUCCUGUUGCAUGAACUUACUAAGCACAAAGUGCUUACCCUGUUUCUUUUUCCCCUGUUUGUAGAGUUAAGAGCUCGGAGGUCGGAUUUGGUCGGAGACACAUCACACUAUCAAUCUCGAGAUCUCGGUACAUAAAGGAACUUUAUUUUAGAAAUCAAUGGCAUGUAUAAGCUAGUAAAUUAGAUGUUAAUGUGAAAUGAAUUUAUGGUUAGCCAUUGGUAUGGCUAACAAAUUUUGGUUUUGGUAUGUGAUGAAAUUAUCUUAUGAAUAUGAUAAAUCUAUCUUGAAAAAAAAAUUCGGUAAAAUCUGGUAAUGCCUCAUACUAUAUUUCGGCGACGAAUACAGGUAGGGGGUAUUACAAAAUAAAUAUAAAAAAAAUAAUAUAUCUGAAAAAAACCUUUCAAAAUGUUUUAACCUUUUCUCUUUUUUGUAUUUCUUUUUAAUGUCUUCGUACAAAAAGAAGCCCCCAUUUUUCUUUUUACAACAUUCGACUUUAUAGCCGAAAGAAAAUAAAAACUCAAUUUUUGCUAUUGUUUAGUCUUGUCUACUUUUGCUUCUCUUGUUGCGUGUUUGCAGGUGAUCGUGCAGCAGUGGCAGGAGGCGUCAGACGCACAUGGUAGCAAGUGGCGCGGCGCUGGAGGAAGGACUAGGGUUCUGAAACCCUAGUUCCUAUUGGGUUUGGGCCAUAUUUUAAUGUUCAGGCCCAUUUUGUUUUUUUGUUUUAUUAUUUGUUAUCCUAGUGGGCCGGGCAAAAAUGGGCCUGUAUAAUCUGGUUCAACUUUUUUGCUCUAUUUUAGUAUCAAUAUGAAUUUAUAUUUUUGAUUUUGCAAGUGAGUAAUGUAAUUUGAAUCGAAAGGGUAGGUCAACUUACGCGGUGUAGCCGAGCUCAAACCAUUCGAAACUCGAUCUGAAAUGCAAGGCUCCAAGCUCAACUUGAGUUUGAUUGAAUUUUGCUUUUAUAGCUGAAGAGAUUUGAGAUAAUAGUCGAAUUGGAUGAGCCUCAAUUAAAGUGAAAUAUAAACUCAGUUUUUAUACUCAAGUUUGGAUUCAAAUUGAAACAAUAGUAAUUAAAAAGAAAAAGCUCGAUUCAGCUCUUAGACUACUUGACUCAAAUACUCAAAUUCAGCUCUUUCACUAGCUCGAGCUUGAUUUGACGAUGGUCAAGAUGAAUUCAAGUUUUUUCAAGCUGAAGACAAAUAGCUUUUGUAAUACAAGUGUGUCUUUUGCUCUCUUAGAUCUACGAAGGUUGGAGGUUAGAUUUUAGUGCUCUUAAAACCCGAAACUUAAGUGGUUUUGCUUGUUGUGUUUGUCACUUCCUGCUUCAAUGUCUCUAUCUAUCUUUCUUUUCUUAAUUUUGAUGUUAUAGGCGGUAACAUUUUUUGUUUGCAAUAGUUUGUCAUAGGCUUACCAAGCAUUUUUCUUCAUUAACAUUAACUUCCUUAGUUUUGGACUCUAUAUUCAUUUUAUUUUUAAGGUAAUGUUAUAUUAAAUGGUAUUCCUUCAUGUAAUAACAGACAAAUACCAAAACCAUAUCUGAUAUUGUAAAUAGAUUCAUGAUCACAACAAGACAACUAAUACCUUUGUAUUUUCUAAAAGAGAACUUAAUUGUUGAUUUUAGUAUAAGUUUACGUUUGUUGGUUGGUUUGUAGAUGUAUUUUUGAUUCAAUUGAAUGAUAGUGUUUAAUUUUGUGUCCUAGGUAAUCACUCCCGUUUUUCAUAUGUAUUAUACAUCAUUUGUUUGUUGGUCUGUACAUGUAUUUGUGUUGCUGUUACGAGCAUUUCUUGUUUAUACAUUUUGAAUUGGCUCAAGUUUUCUUAUACUUCUUGCUUGUACUUAUUGAUUUGUAAUUUCAAUGAUUAUUUUCUGACCUUGUUUGAUUGAUUCUUUUUUAUGUCAGGCAGCUCGUUAUUGCAUCAGUUAGUGUUCCUUUGUUUGAGAUAUUCCUUACGAAGAAGUGACGUGGAUGGAGUUAGAAGGAUUUAAUGACGACUUCUUUUGUAGUGUAUUUGAUUGUCUUGUGGGUUAUAAAUCUAAGGCCAAAGCUUUUUUAGCAAAAAGUACGAAGCAUAGAAAAAUUUGACUUCAAAAAUUUUCACAAGGUUUAAGAUAUUGAUGCUUCAAUAUGGUGUAGUACUAAUUAUGUGGUGUAAUACUAGUUAUGGACUUGGAAAAUAUUGUAUUUACCAUGUGAUAUACUACUAAUUAUGCACUUGGAUAAUAUUACUAUUUUGUAGUAUUAAUUGUGGUUUGGAAGCUAAUUUAUUAUUAUUAUUUAAUCUUUGUUUUUUUUAUAACGCAAUUAGUAAUCAUCUAUUCGCUUUGGUUGUUUUCAAUUUUUUUUUAUUGUUAAUAUUCUAGCUUAAUAAUUCAGUACUAUGAUAUAUUUAAUUUAAUGUAUUUAUUUAUAAAUAAAUCAUUGCAAUAUAUAUAAAAAUAAUGUAAAUAUAAUAAACUCAAUUAAACAAUGAAAUAAUAAUAAAUUCUCAAAUGUUUGUUUUAUUUAAAAUAGUUUUCCUAAAAUAUUUUCAGGAAAUCUGCCAAACAACAGAAAAUAUUUUACACAGAUCCAUCCAAACACCAGAAAAUAUUAACUUUUCUAGAAAAGUAAGUCAUUUUUCAGAAACCAUUUUUAGUCAACCAAACAGACCCUAAGAUUCAAUCCUGAUUACUUUUUAAUAUAUAUAUUAACUGAGGUGCCCUUUGUUGACUUUUGACUACCCUUAUUUAAAUAAUGAAUUUGGAACAUGCUUUAUUAAUAUUUAAAUAAAUAUAAUUAUAUUUAUAAGAGAAUGUUUGUAUUCAUUCAUAUGUAAGGUGGCUUAUUCACAAAGGUAGAUAGACAAUGCCUUUUUGAAGGGAGUGGGUAGUUCAUUUACAAUAAUGAAUGACUUAUCCUCGAGAGGUCAAAACCCUUCCGAAAAGAUUGGAGGGUUGAAUGGGGCAUGCCCUCCAAGAUGUGGGUCGUUUGAUUAGUACCUCGGUAGUGGAAAGCAAAGAACUACCUUCUCAAGUGAUUUGCUAUACUAACUCCUGUUCAAAGAUAGAGGGAUAUAAUAAACUUAAUUUAAAAAAGAAAGUAUUUUGAAAGUGAAAGAGCUAAUCAAAAACUCAAAAUACUUCCUUUUCUUUUAAUUAUAUUUAAAAUGACUCCCUUUUUAGAAUUAAGUUUUAAUAAUAAAUUAUAUUAAUUAAUAAAUGCAAUAAAAUAAAUAUCAUUUUAAUUUACAUUUGUUUUUUAAACAAGCAAAUUUAUUAUUUCUUCUCAUUUUAGUUAAGAAUAAAAUAAGGGAUUAAUUUUUGGUAAAAAUAUAAUUUUUGUACCUUUAUUUCAUUUUUAAUAAUUAUAUUUCUACAUUUACAUUUGUUUUUUAAACAAGCUCGUUAUGUCCUCGAAUGAUUCAUAAGAAAAUUACAUGAGAAUACGUUAUAAAGAGCAUAUAAAGUGGUGUAGUGAAUAAUAUCAGGGGGAAAUUACCCUUCAUCUCAUCAACCAAUUCUACAACUUCUUCCACUUAACCUACCUUAUAGAGAGCAUCAGCCACUACGUUAAGAAAUAUCCCAAAUAUGUUCUUCCAUGCAUAUAAAGCCCUUUCAUAUAGCCAUAUCAACGUUCCCACAAUGUAUCAAACGAUAAAUUUACAUGAGAAUACGCGUGUAACAAUUGCUUGACUUUAAGUUCGAAACAAGAUAUUAAUAACUUUACCAAACAUUAAUGUAUGCCUACACAAUAAAGUGAAGGAUUAUUCUCCUGAGUUUUUAUACAUAGGAAGGAUUAGGUAAUCUUAAACAAGAACUGAUGCAAACUAAUUAUAACGGUGAUUUGGGGCUGAAAUACUUUCCUAUCACUCUUGAAUCUAAUAUCUUCAUGGCUUCCUCAGAUUUAAUGCAACUAGGUUUUUUGUAUUGGCUCAAUGAAGUUCCUUUGGACACAUAGUAAUCCAUUAGUGCCUCAAAACUUCCUUGCUUUACCACCCUAAUCUCCAAAGCUGCAAUUAUGUUCCUUUUCCUAUAGAUUUUAUAUGUAUAAUGCAAUGACUCUUCC
rnacentral:lncRNA from 1 species